AAACCUGAAAAUCUUUUCAAAAACAAUCUCUAAAAUAGGAGGCUUUUCUCUUUUUCUAGGUUAAACAGAAAAAAAAAACUGGACAAUCUUGUUGGUAUUUCUGGGUUUUUGGAGUUCUUGUGACUUGAGGCUGAAGUUGUUUGCUAACUAUUUGUUGCCCUGCUCUCUAUUUGUCGAAGUAACUGUGUUUUAUUUGAUAUUUUGGAGCAGAAUUUCAGGCACUAAGGUACACAUCAUGGCCUUAUGCCAAAAUCCUUGUAAUCUUGACCUCACAUGAAUGCUAGAAGUAUUGUUUGAAUGACUCUAGUGCAUAUCUAUGUUGAUUCUUGUUUCAUAUGCUUGAAAACAUGUUUUUCUUGUGCUUCAAAUACCUUAGUUGAUAUCUGUUGGGCUUGAGCUCUAAGUACACUGUUUUUUGAUCAUUCAUGUCUAACAUUUUGCUUUAUGGUUUGAGUUGUGAGUAUUGGCCAGGGGUCAGCAUGUGUGCAGUAUGGCUCUUAUUGGAUCUAAUCUCAACAUGAUCAUAUCCAUGAGAGUUAGAAGCUGAAAUUGAUAUUACUCCUAUGUGGGAAGAGCUGGCAGCUUAUGGAGGAUUACAAUCUAAAUGUAGAUUUGGUUUUAGUGGUGUAGAGUAAUUUUGUUUGUUAUUUCAUAGGACAAGGCUUAUUAAUCUCCAUUUACUAGUUAUUUGUUCUUUAAUGAUUCAAAGUUUUGUUAAAAUAGUACUGAGCCUACUGUAAAUUAAUGUAAUGUGUAUAAAGAAGCCGUAAGGGUCAGAGGUGAAUGCUUCAGUUAGUUUAUUUGGUGUUUAAACAUGCUGGAAAUCCCAAAUGAGCUGUAUAAUGAUUUAGGUACUGUUGACUUUUCC
rnacentral:lncRNA from 1 species